GCCCCCGGCGAAGGUGGUGUACGCCGGGAGGGAAGCGGUAAUCGGGUCGCCGGGCUUCGGGCUCGGCUCUAGGAACCUCUGCACGGGUGUGCUUAGAAGCCAGCACUGAGUCGGCUCUCGCUCCUCCCCGACUGCUGAUCUCGAUGGUGUUUUCCCACCUCCGCCCGCUCCUCUGCCUGCUGCGCCUGAGUAAACUGCCUUCCGGACCCUUUGAGGCCGCCGGACCCUCUGAACCAGAGGACGUCCCCAAAGCUAGUCUUUUGUACUCUCCUCUCCUGCAAGAGGCUCCCAACGGUCUCUAUAAGAGCCUGUGUUCAUUUUCUGUUGCUGUAAAAUUUCCUGAGGAACUGAGGCCCUCGGUCCAACAGUCCAUGAGGGACUGAAUUGUGCCAACCACCCUGUGAAUGAGCUUGGCAUCAGACCCACCCCUGUGGAGCCUUAAAACACCCACAGCUCGAGCAAAACCCUGAGCUGGGGCCCGGGAAGCAGCACCCAGAUUUCGGACUUGAAGACACUGUGAGGCCUGCCCCUCUCGCUCCGUCCCACCUACGUUCAACAGGAGCACCUGUGGCAAACACAGGCAUUUGCAAGAUUGACAAGGGCAGAGUCGUCCUGCAAUGAAAGAUCGUCCCCAGCUCCCGCAGGCACGCUGGGGCUCACCUGCCCCAUCGCCACAGCCAUGAAAACGGCCCGGAAGUUGCUCAGGUCCGCAGCCUGCAGCUCCGCCACGAUGCCAGCAUCCAGCAGCACCAGGCGCAGCGGGCAGCGGGCGGGGGUCAUGGCCACCACCAGCGUGUUGCAGACAUCCAUCUGCUGUAGCGGUGCCUCUCGACUCUUGGAAAGACCGUCAGCGCCCUGGACCAGGAUGUUCCCCGGGUGGAGGUCUGCAUGGACAAAGUUGUCCACAAAUAUCUGGAAGGAGAUCGGCGCUAUUCAAGGCAGAGGCAACCCUCACCGCCCCAGCGGCACCAGACCAUAUGCAGAAAAGCUUCCAAGGUGACAGAAACCCUUCACUCUGCUGCCCACAGGCGUGAGAUGUAAUGUCACAGAGAAGACAAGGAUCAGGGCUCCGGAGAGCUAGUUUCUGAUCAGCAAUGAGCCAACAAGGCCAUGAGUGAGCUCUGUGACCUCGAGCGAGAAAAUGGAGAGAAAGGGGAGAAAGAGAAGGAAGGACACAGUAAACAACCAUUUCAUGUAGACGGAAACCUCCAGGGGAAGCGGAGAUGGACCAGCCCUGAGUGGAAGGCACAGCCCCAGGAAGCCAGCUCUCACUUACUUCGUAAGUCUCCACCAAGACAUCCCUGGUGACAAAGGGACGCAGGGGGGUGGGG